rnacentral:rRNA from 1 species
GACGAACGCUGGCGGCGUGCUUAACACAUGCAAGUCGAACGAGAGGACAAGAGAAGCUUGCUUCUUUUGGAAUCGAGUGGCAAACGGGUGAGUAACACGUAAACAACCUGCCUUCAGGAUGGGGACAACAGACGGAAACGACUGCUAAUACCGAAUACGCUUGGGAGACCGCAUGAUCUACCAAGGAAAGGGUGGCCUCUACCUGUAAGCUAUCGCCUGAAGAGGGGUUUGCGUCUGAUUAGGCAGUUGGUGAGGUAACGGCCCACCAAACCUACGAUCAGUAGCCGGUCUGAGAGGAUGAACGGCCACACUGGAACUGAGACACGGUCCAGACUCCUACGGGAGGCAGCAGUGGGGAAUCUUCCGCAAUGGGCGAAAGCCUGACGGAGCAACGCCGCGUGAGUGAUGACGGCCUCGGUUGGUAAAGCGUACUGUGAUCGGGGACGAAC